AUAUAUUAUCUUACUUUUUGAAUGUAUUGAAUAUGAAAUUUAAAUAAAAUACACUUGACGCUCACGAUCACUGGGUCUGUGUCCUCGGUAACUUGGACAUGUUGCGUAACAGUGACGUGAUAAAUGAGAGGUAAUUAUGAAAAAUUCAACGAAUUCACGUGAGCCUUUCUCAGAAUCGUGAAGAUGACUCAUAGACUUACUGGCGGGUUUAAGUGGGCGUUUUUGUAUAUUAUAUAUAUGUAUAUGUAUAAAUAUAUAUACUUUAGAAAGAGUGGUAGGUAGACUAGGAUGACCGGACCGGGUAUCCGGAACAUAUUGAACGACAGCAUGACUCAUUUAUUUAGUAUGCUAAAUAUUUGCGCGGGUGGCUCGUUAAUAUGACAUUCAAUAUUUUUAAUAUUUAAAUCCCAAGUUCAAGCAACUGGAAGAUUUUAAUUGACCACAAAUAUUUUGUUUAUUUACUCCUGUCAUUUGUACACUUCAGCUGGUAUUUAUUAAUUAAUUAAUUAAUUAACUAUUAAAUGUAAUCUGACAGACGGAUGUAGAGAGCGGCUAGUUUAAAGCGUAAAUAUCAAAUUUGAACAUAUUAAGGUCAAGGUAUCCUUGGACUAGCUUUUACGCUAGCUCAAGGUUUGAUGCUACACUGAAAAGAUUUAUCUUCAAACUGAUUUAAAGUAUUUUAUAUAUAUGAAAAAAAAAAAGAAAAAAAUUAUAGAUAAAUAAUGUGGCAUCCGAGGAGGAAUUUCAUUGCCGCUGAUGGAGGUAAUGGAAUAAAAUACCCGUUUAGUCUUGAAGGAAAUUGACAAUCUGGACCUUGAAAGACUGAAGACCUCAUGUUGGUGUAAUGGAAAAACUAAAUUUACUUUUUCAUUUAAAGGCUACUUACUGUCACAAAGAAAAUAAGUACAUUAUGUCGCACUUCCUCGUAUCUUAUCAUAAUUUUAUACAAAACACGAGUUACAUAUUUUUCUUUUAGCAAGAUUGUUGUUAAAACAAUUUGUCCAUACAGUUUUUUUUUUUUAUUUAUUUAUGAUUUAAUUUCCAUGUCGUGCUAUUUUAAAAUCGUGGAACUGUGAAAAUUAAGAUUAAGGAGGCCUUGAAAAUUAUUAUCAGCUAAAUAGUUUAGAUAAGACAUCUAUUGUAAAUCUUUAAACAGUUAUAGCUCUAUAUAAUUUUUCAUAUCGACUACUAAGAUUUUAAAAUUAAAAGUAACUUUUGCUGAGAUAUAAACUCUAAGUGUUUCUCACGCGUGGAAAAUAAUUGCGUCACUGGUAUGCACGGUGACUUUGCGGAAUCGAGAUAAUAAACAAUAACAAUAAACAACAGAGAAAUAUCUUCGAUGAAUACCGAUAAAGUUGAUACCAUAUACGUCUAGUUUUAAAAAUAGAUAAAUCUUUUCCUGCAAUAAGUAAAAUAUGUAAAGGCUUAAAGAAAUUUAGAAAGAAAGUAUUGCAUACAUGGACUCUAAAUAAAGUAACAACAAAAGUAGACUUUGUUAUCCAGCUGAGGAGCCAGUACAUAUAUAUAUUUAUAUUGUAAAUUGUAUAUGGAACAAAACCGAGCGUGUGGAAUUGUUAAAGUCGAGCAAAAUGAGUCAACUGUGUAUAAGUUGAGUGUAAAAAAAAAAUUAUGUACGCACGUGCGACACGGCUGACCACACACGAUCUACACUAGCUGGCUGGUCUUUUGAGCCGCUGGUUCAAGACAAAGGGCUCCAGUAGCAGCAAAAUAAUCCGUUAUAUCGCAUAUGCUGUCAAGACGACUUAGCUCGUGUUUGAAUGAAAUCCGUAUCGAAUUUUCUUACGAAACAAAUUCUUUUGUGAGGAAAAAAUCUAAAUAAUCCGCGAGACCACCGUAUUUGUAUUAUUAGCGGUUUUAAAAACCUAAACAUUAAGAUUAGCAUAUGAAAAAUAACUUCCAGAGAUCGUAAUGACUAAAAGUUUGAAUAAAGAAAAAUUGUCGUGAUACAUUUAAGAUUGAAUGAGGUAGUAAUAAA